rnacentral:lncRNA from 1 species
GACAGGUGAGACUCGAAACCCUUUCCUAAACCCAAAGUGUGGAACGUCAGAAGUUCGAGAAACACUAACUUGAAGGAACAACUUUGUGCAGGCAUAGAUUGUAUACAAGUCAAAAGGCAUAAAUGUUGCCUGAUAAACAUCAAACUAUCACUGCAAUAGCCAGGUCUUUUAAAUUAAGAGAUUCCUGAUGAAGGACUAACUGACCUGUCCAGGUUUGAUGUUCAGAAACUGCAGCACUUCCUUCACCAUGACCGGUGUGUGAAAGGGCUUCUCCUCUUGGACUGGCAUCUCACAAUCGGGGCUUGAAGGGACUGAUCCAGUAUAGAGUCUCCCUGGAUGCCACGACUUUCUCCAGCACCUCCUGAACAUUCUGGGGUUUCGGAGAGUAGCCACGUGUUUCCAAACUCCCAAAGUCUGUCUGCAGGGUGCAGCCAUGAAGCAGCUAUAAUAUUGGGGCAUAUAGAUCCUGCACAGAGGACACAUAUUUCAUCAGAAUAAUAUUAAAAGGACAAGAAAUGCAGGGGAUUACAUGUUGUCAAACAUGCCAUCUGGUAUAACUCAUUUGUAUUAGUCAUUAAAUGUUUAAUUAAAGACUGAGAUAUUUAAAACUCACAAUACAAAUUGUUUAAGCAUGUAAACAUGUUGUUAAUAUGCAAACGUUAGAAAUGAAUCUUCUUAUUUAAUCUAAAUUACCCAU